CGCCGCGUGAGUGAUGAAGGUUUUCGGAUCGUAAAGCUCUGUUGUUAGGGAAGAACAAGUACCGUUCGAAUAGGGCGGUACCUUGACGGUACCUAACCAGAAAGCCACGGCUAACUACGUGCCAGCAGCCGCGGUAAUACGUAGGUGGCAAGCGUUGUCCGGAAUUAUUGGGCGUAAAGGGCUCGCAGGCGGUUUCUUAAGUCUGAUGUGAAAGCCCCCGGCUCAACCGGGGAGGGUCAUUGGAAACUGGGGAACUUGAGUGCAGAAGAGGAGAGUGGAAUUCCACGUGUAGCGGUGAAAUGCGUAGAGAUGUGGAGGAACACCAGUGGCGAAGGCGACUCUCUGGUCUGUAACUGACGCUGAGGAGCGAAAGCGUGGGGAGCGAACAGGAUUAGAUACCCUGGUAGUCCACGCCGUAAACGAUGAGUGCUAAGUGUUAGGGGGUUUCCGCCCCUUAGUGCUGCAGCUAACGCAUUAAGCACUCCGCCUGGGGAGUACGGUCGCAAGACUGAAACUCAAAGGAAUUGACGGGGGCCCGCACAAGCGGUGGAGCAUGUGGUUUAAUUCGAAGCAACGCGAAGAACCUUACCAGGUCUUGACAUCCUCUGACAAUCCUAGAGAUAGGACGUCCCCUUCGGGGGCAGAGUGACAGGUGGUGCAUGGUUGUCGUCAGCUCGUGUCGUGAGAUGUUGGGUUAAGUCCCGCAACGAGCGCAACCCUUGAUCUUAGUUGCCAGCAUUCAGUUGGGGCACUCUAAGGGUGACUGCCGGGUGACAAACCGGAGGGAAGGUGGGGAUGACGUCAAAUCAUCAUGCCCUUAUGACCCUGGG
rnacentral:rRNA from 2 species